rnacentral:rRNA from 1 species
UACGUAGGGUGCGAGCGUUAAUCGGAAUUACUGGGCGUAAAGCGUGCGCAGGCGGUUUUGUAAGCCAGAUGUGAAAUCCCCGGGCUUAACCUGGGAAUGGCAUUUGGGACUGCAAGGCUUGAGUGCGGCAGAGGAGACUGGAAUUCCUGGUGUAGCAGUGAAAUGCGUAGAUAUCAGGAGGAAUACCGAUGGCGAAGGCAGGUCUCUGGGCUGACACUGACGCUCAUGCACGAAAGCGUGGGGAGCAAACAGG